ensembl:lncRNA
AUGUCUAUGCAAUUUCAAGAUGAUACAGAUGGUAUACCUCCUUCUGAGGCUGAAAGUAGGAAUGAAAGGCCCCAAAGGAUAAAGCACCCUUCAGCCAAGAUGCUAGCCCAUCUAAUAGAUGAAAAGGAGCUCCUCCAUGUGAGGUUAGGUUCGGCAUGGGAGCGAAUUGUAACAUUGAUGGACAGAAUUGAGAGCUUGGGUAUUACAAGGGUGCCAUCCAUAUUACAGACAGACCUUGAAGAGACCUUCGGUAUUUGGAGGGGUUUGGUGUCUAAGAUAGUCCAGGUCCUCGAGCGCAUUAACGCCAAGGAUUCAGAGUUAGAAAUAGUGAGUGUCUUAGCUGACACUAAUGAGAAAGAAAAUAAGGUGAGGGCAAUUCUAGAUGCCUUGGAAUUUAGUUCUCCACCUGUUAAUCUAAGGUCUGAGCCAAAAGGAAAUCAGUCUUCCUUAUGCAGCCAUGAGACCAAUCUUUUAAAAUCACCUGCUGUGGCACUUAGUCUUAAGUCCAACCGCUCUAGCCAGGUAUCUAAGCUAAGGGAGUGUGCAUCAUCUAAACAUAGCCACUCUAGCAAGUCUUCUGCUGCUGGGAGUGCCAUCUCUUCCCUAGCUGCCUUGCACAUUAAGGAGGCUGCACGUCUGGAGCUAAAGAGCAAGGUAGCGGGGGCGGAAGCUGAUGCUAAGGCAGCUGAUCUCACCCUUCCCUUUAAAGAAGAAGAGCAACGACUGCAAAUAGAACAGGCCCGUAGACAAAGCGAACUGCAAAUAGAACAGGCCCGUAGACAAAGCGAAAUGCAAAUAGAACAGGCCCGUAGACAAAGCGAAAUGCAAAUGGAACAGGCCCAAAGGCAAGGUGAAAUAGAAAUGCUUAGAAUAAGGAUGGAUGCUACUGCCAAAAAGGUAAGGGCUGAGACUUUGGCCAAGGCCCUAAUUGAGCCACUCACAGAAGAAAAUGUAAGUCAGUUGCCGAAGCAGGACCCUUCUUCCAAGGUGCUUGUGCAUCUUAAUAGCUUAAACAGCCAGUUUUCGGAUGAGGAACAGGAAGACUUCUCUCCUUACCCAGAGCAGGGCCCCAAAGUCACUUUUGAGUUUCCUGCAGAGCAGAGCGUCAUAGCGGGGAGCUCACCCUUGCCCGAGCUACCUGUGCCUCCUGCUAAAUCCCUAGGUCAGUCAAUCAGGGCCUCAAGGCCAAGUGCUAGUUGGCCCUUACAGACAGCUGCACAGGGAGCCACCGAUUCGUCAGUGGUCGAUGUCAUCCCUCCAAGAGGCCAAAGGUUGACGCAAGGUGCACGGUGGGAGUCCACUCCACAACAGCAAACUCCUCAAUUGUUCCCUUCGACGCCAGAGUCCCAGCUUGUCUCCAUCAUCAGAAGCCCCAGAAGAGAUCUUAAGGACAAGGGUGUCGAAAAGUUUUCGGACAAGCCUGAGGAAUUUCUUCUCUGGAAGGCCACCUUCCAGAGAGCAAUCAGAGACUUAAAGUUAUUGCCUGAGGAAGAACUGACUCUUCUGGCUGCAUGGUUGGGCCCAGCCUCAUCCUCACAAGUUAAGAAGAUCUACGCAGCCCACGUAGCCGAUCCCGACAAAGCCCUGGAAAAGGCCUGGGCCAGGUUGCAGCAGAGGUAUGGGGCCAGCACAGAGAUUGAAGCAUCUCUUAUGGACAAGCUCCAAAGGUUCCCAGCUUUGAAACUCAAAGACUUCAAACUCUUGUGGGACCUCAGCGAUCUCCUUACGGAAUUAGAGUCGGCCAAGGAGAAUCCAGAACUGCCCGGUUUGAAGUGCCUCGAUCAGCACCUGUCCCAGAGGCAGAUCUUGACCAAGCUGCCCUUCACUUUGCAAGAACGCUGGGGACAGGAGGUCUUCAACUACAAGGAGGCCCACUCCCAGGCAUACCCUCCAUUUUCUCAUUUGGUCCAGUUCAUCACCAGGGCGGCCAGAGAAAGGAAUGAUCCGCAGACGGGCCUCCCCACCUUAUACCAAGGGACCCAGCCAGAGAAGGCACCUAAAGUGGAGAAAAAACCACCUAGAGAGGCCAAUAGACCUGUCAGCGUAAAGGCAGUCGAAACUCAACACAAGACUGAUGAACCCAGGUCGGAGGUAAAAGAGUUGCUUUGCCCUAUCCACCAAAAGCCUCACAGCUUGGCCAACUGCAGGGAGUUUAGUAGAAAGUCAUACAAAGAAAGGCAACAGCUAGUUCAAAAGCAGGGAAUCUGCUUUAGAUGCUGUGGAGCAACUCCACACUUUGCGUCCAACUGCAAAGAAAACGUCAAGUGUGAGAAAUGCAACAGCCUCAAGCAUUGCACCGCAAUGCACAACUCCAGUGUCAUCUCCCACCCCAAAGGGAACGUUUCACCAAAAGAAAAGUCAGCAGUCGAAGACACCGACAAGCCAGUCGUACCAGAGAUGCAGGUGGAGGUUUCAGCAGUCGCCUGUACAGAGCUGUGUUCUGACUCGCACCAGUACAGAGUUUGUCAUCCUAUCUGCCUAGCGGAUGUAUAUCCAGCCAAGAGCCCUUGGCUUAGAAAGAGACUCUAUGUGGCCCUGGAUUCACAGAGCGACGCCUCCCUGGCUACUCCAGAGUUCUUCCGCAUGUUUGACCUUAAAACCAAGAUGGUCGACUACACUAUGACUACGUGUGCAGGAAAAAAGAAGUUGCAGGGUCGCAUAGCAUCUGGCUUCGUUGUCUCCUCUUGCGACCAGAAGAGACAGUUCAAGUUGCCAGACCUGAUUGAGUGUUCCUCUAUUCCCCGGAACAAAAGGCAGAUUGUCACCAGAGAAGUUGUGGAGGCUCAUCCACAUUUGCGACGGUUAAAGAAUGCUAUACCAGCCUUUCGGCCAGAUGUGGACAUUGCCCUUUUGCUUGGCUCGGACUGCCCGAGCUUGUUCUGUGUGAACGACCAAGUUAAAGGACCUCCAGGUGCACCUAUCGCACAACAAUUGCCAUUAGGCUGGACAGUCAUAGGCCCAGUGUGCAUAAACAAGAUGCACCCACCAUCGUCGUUGAACUCCAAUCAAGCACAGGUGCUUAAAGGUGGACGUCCUACACUUGUGCGCAGUUGCCUAAGUCAUAUCUCGGUCUACUGCCAAGCAAUAACUCCAGAGUAUUCCUCCAUCUUCAAAGUCUCUGAGAGAGACGAAGCCACAGCGCUCUCGAAAGAUGAGCAAAGGUUUUCGGACAUUAUGAAUGCUCAAGUCUCACGAAGUGCAGAGGUGAAAGCCUGCAAAUCAACCACAGAAAUCAAGAUGGGCCAAAGAUCUUGCCUGGAACCACACCGUUUUGAACGUUUUUCGGAGUGGCACAGUCUUCUUAGAGCAGUUGCUAGGCUUAUACAUCGUUUAGCUUGCAAAGAUAGUGAGCCUUUACAGGUCCAGGAUAUGAUAAAGGCUAAGAGCGUCAUAUUCAAGUCAGUACAGAGAUCUGCUUUCAAGCAGGAAAUAGCUAGGCUAGAACAAGGGCUUGACACCCCCAGCCGGAGUUUCUUGCGUGAGUUAAACCCAUUUCUAGACAAGGAGGGCAUUUUAAGAGUGGGAGGGAGGUUAGCCAAAGCUAAACUCAAGGCGUGCAUAAAAAACCCCAUCAUCAUACCCCCUAAUAGUCACACUGCAUUGCUGCUCGUUCGGCAUCACCAUGAAAGGAUCCAUCAUCAGGGUAGAACUCUAACUGAGGCAGCCCUUAGAAAUGAAGGUCUGUGGGUAGUUAAUGCCAAAAGGUUGGUCAACAGUUGUAUUUUCAAAUGUGUUAAAUGCAGGCGCCUUAGGCGAAACUGUCAAAGUCAGUUGAUGGCAGAACUACCUCAGGAUAGGACUUUGACAGACCCACCCUUUUCCCAUGUGGGAAUCGAUGUGUUUGGUCCUUGGGAGGUUGUCACUAGGAAAACCAGGGGUGGUGUUGUAAAUAACAAGAGGUGGGCAGUUUUGUUUACUUGUUUAGUAAUACGAGCUGUCCAUAUAGAAGUCAUAGAAGGGAUGGACACUUCAUCAUUUUUAAACGCAUUAAAAAGGUUCAUAGCCCGCAGAGGGCCAAUUAAGUCAAUUCGGUCGGACUGUGGCACCAAUUUUGUAGGUGCGACCAAAGAACUCAAUUGUGUGUCUAGGUUUGGGAGAGACCCAAAGGUUCAGAACUUUACGAAUACUGAACAAAUUAUGUGGACUUUCAAUGUUCCUCACGCCUCCCACAUGGGUGGUGUUUGGGAGAGGAUGAUUGGUAUUAGUCGCAAAAUCCUUAAUGCCAUGUUUUUGAGUCAUAGGGCAUUGACGCAUGAUGUUUUGGUGACACUUAUGGCGGAAGUUACCGCAAUUAUCAACAACCGGCCGCUGGUUCCCCUUACCAGUGACCCUGAGAACUUACAACCACUGACUCCUGCACUUAUUUUGACACAAAAGGUGCCAGGAUGGAAGGACAUCAUGUUGCCAGUUCCGGACGGAACUCACCGUGCCCUGUGGAAACAGGUGCAGUCCUUGGCCAACCACUUUUGGAAAAGGUGGAAAGCUGAGUACUUAAGCCAGCUUCAAGCUAGAAGAAUCUGGCAAAGCCCACAGGACAACAUUGAGGUUAACAACGUUGUGUUGUUAAAGGACAAAGACUUGCCCCGCCAUGCAUGGCCCAUGGGCAUUGUAUUAAAGACCUUUCCUUGCCCGGACGGUAAGGUCAGGAAAGUUCAAUUAAAGACUUGCAACAGAGACAAAGUGUCCAUUUUGGACAGACCAAUUAGUGACCUCGUGUUGCUUAUUGGAGAUGUUUAA